UUAGUGAAGUAUGCAUUGUGCUCAAUCAGC
rnacentral:piRNA from 1 species